UACGUAGGGGGCAAGCGUUGUCCGGAUUUAUUGGGCGUAAAGAGCGUGUAGGCGGCCAUACAGGUCCGUUGUGAAAACUGGAGGCUUAACCUCCAGACGUCGAUGGAAACCGUAUGGCUAGAGUCCGGAAGAGGAGAGUGGAAUUCCUGGUGUAGCGGUGAAAUGCGCAGAUAUCGGGAGGAACACCAGUGGCGAAGGCGGCUUCCUGGCCUGUUCUUGACGCUGAGGCGCGAAAGCUAGGGGAGCAAACAGG
rnacentral:rRNA from 1 species